GACAGAGGAUGCAAGCGUUAUCCGGAAUGAUUGGGCGUAAGCGGUGUAGGUGGUCUGAUAAGUCAGAUGUGAAGCCCAGGCUUAACCCUGGAAGUGCAUAUGAUACUGUCAGGCUUGAGUGUGGAGAGGAUAGCAGAAUUCCUGGUGUAGAGGUGAAUUCGUAGAUAUCGAGGAGGAACACCGGUGGCGAAAGCGGCUCACUGGCCGAUACUGACGCUCAUGGUUCGAA
rnacentral:rRNA from 1 species